ensembl:rRNA 5S_rRNA 5S ribosomal RNA
GGGUAAGGCUAUACCACUGUGAAAGCAGCAAUUUCAUCUAUCCUGGAAGAUAAGCAGGGUAGGGCUGGUUAGGACUUGAAUAAGAGCAAGGAACUCAGGGGGAAGAAAAAGCUUCCCUACCCA